GAGUGCCCACAGUCACUUCUUUGUAAUGCUAAAUUUUCCUAGCUUUCCUGGCCUAUAAUGGUUGGCUUCCAGAAAUACACCUAUUGCCUUUGGUCAGAAAUACACCUGCUGCCUCAUUCACCUGACGUUGUGAGAAGGGACAAGUAUAUGAAUGUAUCCUCAGUGCCCAGCAGUGGAAGCAGAUGAGAGUGAUAUUCUUUCUUGAACUGGAAGAGGGACUCCUAACAACUAUAUUUAAUCCUGGGGUUCAAUUAGUGACUGGAGUGUAGCUGCCGCCGCCACCACCACCACCACCACCACCACCACCAUCUUAUCACCGCCAGCAAUGAGAUCUCAAGACAUUCUGUAAACAUUUCUUUGGCAUGUAUCAGUGUCCCUGAGAGCGUUGAUAAUCUGCUUGAAUGUGAGCUCAAUGCUGGGACGGCCUCCCCGGACUUGGCAGGCAGCCCUUGAACAAACCUUUUGUGCCUGCAUCCCUCUGAUGGACAGGCACUGAGGAUGCCGGUGACCCAGCUUCUAGAAAGAAUCACAGCAGGGAAGGGGCAUUGCUAAGUAGUCUUCCAACCUGGGGACACAAGCUAAAAAUGAGAGAAAACUCAGAUCAACAGUGCUGCUGAGCUUAUUACGUUUAAGACGAAAAACAAUACCUGAUUAAAGCAACAAAACACCUGGAUAUUUUGCAGUUAGCCCCGUUAAUCAGAGAAGGAUGAGCCUUGGGGCUGUGGCUCAGGUUCCUAAUCCUGUUGCUAGAGUUUUUCACUUUUGUUCUCAUUUCUGCGGCUGACAUGGGAUCCUACAGAUUGUUUAUCCCAAGGCUGUCUGGGCCUGGGCUCUGUGAACAGUGUCACUCUAAAAAUAACAGGCUGUGCCGAGAAUAGCAGACUUUCUCCUUUUUCCUGCAGAAGACGACUUCUCAGCUCCUUGGAGGGGUCAGUACGAGGUGAGAGCCAUAGAAAGAUGGCAACGAAAAAGAAAGAGACAUUCUGCAAUGGGUUGAAUGGGGUCUCCCUGACAUUUACAUCACCCAGAACCUCAAAAUAUGACCUUAUCUGGAAACAGGGUCUUUUGAGAUGUCAUGGAUUCUGCUGCCAUCAGCAGAGAGACAGAAAGGUAAGCUCGAACAGGAGAAUCAGGAUGAUUGAACUGGGUCUAAUUUGUUUCCUUUUCAUGAAAAAGAAAUAAGAUGAUAUCGUGCAGGACCCCAGGGUGAGAGCAGAUGAUUCACAACACAAACCCAAAAAUAAGCUUGCCUUUCACACAACCUUUUUAUGCAUCGAACCAUGCUGCAACGAAAACAAGUUUAAUGACUUUAUGACUUGCACCUCGAGGUAUCCAAAUACUUUUACAAAAUCUAGAUUCUGCCAUGCAGUGUCCUUUUUACAAAAGUGCCAUCAGCGUUGUUAGGACCUGAGGUUAUCACAGCUCUUUUUAUAAACAUGGCCGAGCCAAGGGGGAAGUGAGAUGGGGCAGAAGGGAAAUUUUGGAGGACGCAGAGAGAUCCAUCUUAGUUCCUCUCUAUUUUCAUCUACUUUCUGUUGGUCCACAGGUCUGCCCUCUGGAAGUCAGCUGAAGCCCAGUGCAAAGUGCAGCUGGUCAAGACAUUGUGGUUCUCAAUCAGGAACCCUUUGCAAUGUCAGCCUCCCCUAGGAUGAGUGAGCAAGCUUGGCGGGAAUAUGGGGGUGUUGAUUAUGGUCUCUCCUCUGGGACAUUCAGAAUCAAUCUGUCCGUCGCAAGAUCGAAAUAAAGUGGUGAUAUAGAUGAGUCUGAGAACUUAUCUACAACUCACAGCAGCAACUCUCUGUGUAAAUGUUAAUUGUACAAUCAGGGUAAAAAAAAUAACUCUAAUACCAUAUGUGCAUGUUAGGAAAUUAUCUAAGUGCAUAUGGAAUCGGGAGCUCAGAGGCUGAAGGAACUGAAAGGAUUUUCCAUAUAAAAUUCUUUACUGCAUGUUACAGGCUGAAUUGUGUUUCCUCAAAAUUUAUAUGUUAAAUCCUAAACAUUGGGACCUCAGAAUGUCACUGUAUUUGGAGAUAAGGUCUUUAAAGAGGUGAUUAAGGUAAAAUGAGGUCACUAAGAUGGGCACCAAUCCAAUAGGACUGGGGUCUUUAUAAGAAGAGAAUAUUAGGACACAGACAUAAAUACAGGGACGACCCUGUGAGGACAAAGGGAGAAGACAGCAUCUACAAGCUCAGGAGAGAAGCUUUAGGAGGAGCCAACCCUUCCCAUACCUUGAGCUUAGACUUCCAGCCUCCAGGACUGUGGGAGAAUAAAUGUCUGCUGUUUGUAAACCACCCAGUCUAUGGUGUGCUGUUAUAGCAGCCUGAAAUGGACUAAGCCAUCUCAUAAGAAGAGGAGACAGAUACACACAGAGGGACAACCAUUUGAGGACACAGGGAGAAGACAGUGUCUACAAGCUCAGGAGAGAGGCCUCGAGAGGAACCAGCCCUGCCCACACCUUGAUCUUGGAAUUCCAACCUCCAGGACUGUGGAGAAUAAGUGUCUGUUGCUUGUAAGCCAUUAAGUCUAUGGUAUUAUGUUACAGAAGCCUGAAAUUGACUAAGACAUCUCAUAAGAAGAAGAGAUGAGGACACAGACACACACAGAGGGACGACCACAUGAGGACACAGGGAGAAGAUGGCAUCUACAAGGCUACGAGAGAGGCUUCAGGAGGAACCAGCCGUGCUCACCCCUUGAUCUCAGAUUUCCAGCCUCCAGAACCGUGAGAAAAUAAAUCUUUGUUGUUUAAGUCACCUGGUCUGUGGAACUUUCUUAUGGAAGUCCUAGAAAACUAAUAUACUGCAUGAAAAGAAACCUUCCUAUAACAUCAUUCAUGAGGAUAAAUUUAGCUUGUAUUGUGUUUCUUCAUCGUCAAUAACUUAGAAUAAAAUGUGAGAAGAACAGUAAUGUAAACAUACUGAUAUUUACCCCAAAUGGGAAAAUUGUAGCUAGUAUUUUCCCUCAAGAAGAUCUGUUCCCUUUAUUAUAGAAUUGCUAUUCCAACCACUUCAAUAUUAUAAUUCCUACUAUCUUCCUUAACAUCUCUAUAAAAUAAACCUUAAACAUUUUCCAUCAACAUCUUGCAAAUCAAUUUGCAGGCCAAAAAUUAUUUCUAACAUCUUCCUGAAUUUUUUCAUAUGAUAAUUUAAAUUUAUACUCUCUUUGUUUCCUUUGUGAAAAAACAAUUCCUAGUUAGAAUGAGAAGAAAGCCCCAAUUAUGUUGGGAUUAAAUGCCGGGAACAAUUAAAUGUUGGGAACAUUUUAGUUCAAAAGAAGACCAUGUUUCAUUUCAUUUACCCUUCAAGAAAGGUAAGGUGAAUAUUAUCAUAUAUUUUUCCUCAAUUCCUUGCUAUUCACCCAU
rnacentral:lncRNA from 1 species